rnacentral:rRNA from 1 species
GAUGAACGCUGGCGGCGUGCCUAAUACAUGCAAGUCGAGCGAACGGACGAGAAGCUUGCUUCUCUGAUGUUAGCGGCGGACGGGUGAGUAACACGUGGAUAACCUACCUAUAAGACUGGGAUAACUUCGGGAAACCGGAGCUAAUACCGGAUAAUAUUUUGAACCGCAUGGUUCAAAAGUGAAAGACGGUCUUGCUGUCACUUAUAGAUGGAUCCGCGCUGCAUUAGCUAGUUGGUAAGGUAACGGCUUACCAAGGCAACGAUGCAUAGCCGACCUGAGAGGGUGAUCGGCCACACUGGAACUGAGACACGGUCCAGACUCCUACGGGAGGCAGCAGUAGGGAAUCUUCCACAAUGGGCGAAAGCCUGACGGAGCAACGCCGCGUGAGUGAUGAAGGUCUUCGGAUCGUAAAACUCUGUUAGUAGGGAAGAACAUAUGUGUAAGUAACUGUGCACAUCUUGACGGUACCUAAUCAGAAAGCCACGGCUAACUACGUG